rnacentral:tRNA from 1 species
UCCCUGGUGGUAGAGUGGUUAGGAUUUGGGGCUUUCACUCCUGUGGCCCAGGUUCGGUCCCUGGUCUGGGAA